CAAGGAAUGUCCCUGUGGGUGGCUCCACUUUUAGGUGAUUAUGCAGCAGUACCCAGGGCCGGCUUUAGGAAAUGCGGGGCCUGAUUCGAAUAGUUUCAACGGGGCCCCAGCUGAGAUGACUCACCUAGCGGCGCUCUGUGUCUUCGCUCCGGGUCUUCCAUGGCACUGAAGGACCCGCUGUCAAAACACUGCUGAAGACCUGGAGCGAGUGAAGGACCUGACGCUGAAGUGCCACCCAAGACCCAGAGCACUGCCGGAACGUGAGUGCUCUAAUGUCCAAUACGUGAAGAGAUGCUUCCCUGCUGACAGCAUGCGGCUUCAGGAAGAAUACAGGUGUAUGUCUUCCAGAGCUGCUGUUACUUCAUUCCCUGAACUAGCUUUCUUCAUCCAGACCUCCGCACCACCUCUGCAGCCCCACCCAAUUGCCCCAUUACCACUGAACACUCCGAAGAAGAAUUCAAGAGCCAGAAGGUACUACCCAGAGACACCUGGUGAAAACACAUCAUUGAAUGCAGGAGCAUGUCACAAUAUCAAAACAGUAACAAGCGUGGACUGCAGAAGCAGCUGGCAUCGGGAUACAGAGAUUUAAUUUAAAAGGUAUGUCUCACAAAAGGGCCCCAAGGGUGAGGUACUGAUGUGUUUUGGAGAAGAUGGUGACAAGUCUAGGAUGGGGAGGAAGAUUCAGUCUUCAAACUGAGUCCAACACUAGUUAUUUACAUACCCAAGGAUAAUGCAAUAACUGGAAUGAUUUUAAAAAGAAAUACCAUUCAAUGAAAAUGUCCUGCAGACAGCAGGUUGACGUCACUCAAAUUUAGUACAUAAGUCAGACAUUUUGUGGGAAGCCUCCAGAUCUCACAAGAAACAGCAAAUCUCUAAAAUGGUUUUAGCAUGGUGGCUGAAAUUUUUACCUUGUGACUAGGCAUUUUAUCAUUCCUCUGCUCUAACUUUGAAAUAAAGCACAUUCCCCUUCUUGUCCCAAAAAUGUAGUUUUCUGCUAUUGCUAUUUUAAAUACAGUUUGGCACUGCCGUGUAAUAUCCACACUACAGAUUGUGGAAAACUACUGUAUUUUCAACAGCUAAAUAUUUAUGUAUACAAGUGAAGCACUAGUUCAAUACAAAGCACAUUCUGAGUAAAAUUGAACUCUAAUGCAGAAGAGGACAUAGAUUUUAUAUUUAAUAAUAUGAUUUUUGAUGUGUCUAAUUACAGCCAUGCAUAUUCUGCAGUAAGCUGGAUCGGUCUGGAUUGUGAAUUUUGCCACAGCAGACUGGAAAUUCAGUGGUAGCUUUCCACAUAAAUAAAUAAAAAUGAAGAUCCUGAAUCCAUAAAUUAUGAAAAUGAGUAAUACCAUCAGUACAGUGGCCCAUGUGUUAUUUAUUUUGCUAUUAAAUUCUCCAUGUGAGAUAUGAAAGUCUGUUAAGAGAUCAAACAGCAGCAGUGAAACACAGUUAAGAGUGUUAACAUUUGAACUGUCAUCUUUUAGGUUUCAAAAUCAACCCUCCACUGGAAUGAAUGGGAAGUUCACACAUCUCCCAGAAAUAACUGCAGGUUGCCUGCAGAUUUAGGAGGCCAUCACCAUACAAUAUGAUAACAAAUUAGGGAUAAGUAAGACCAGUAGGUUGCAGAGUCUAACACCUUUCACUGAAAAUGCCCUACAACAAGCCCCCUACUAUUUAACUCAGGGUCUAUAAACUUGAGCUCCUCAGAUGAUUACAAUUGCCAAGGGAUCACAUUAAGAAAGAGACAACCUUCAAAGAAGUAGGACUCAAACCAUUUAGGGCAUUAUAUGUCAAAAAUACCAGCUAACUUCUCACAGAAACCAAACGAAAACCAAUGCAGACCAUGGGUAUAGCAGCAGAUUCUGCACAAGCAGAACAUAUCUUAUGUCAGCUCAGUCUCAGCCAGCUAGCUCAUAUUCAAACCCUGUUCCUGGCUAUACACUGGAAAAAGUCACUCAUCUGCACCAUAGGUCUCCAGUGAAAUGGAGGCAGCUCUGAAGGCACAUUUCAGUAUUAAUGAAAUCCUCUCCACACAAAGGUCUAUCAAAAGGCUUACGCACCACGUAAGCCCUA